UACAGAGGUCUCAAGCGUUGUUCGGAUUUAUUGGGCGUAAAGGGCGCGUAGGCGGCGGGGUAAGUCGGGUGUGAAAUCUCAGGGCUCAACCCUGAAACUGCACUUGAUACUGCUCUGCUUGAGGACUGGAGAGGAGACUGGAAUUCACGGUGUAGCAGUGAAAUGCGUAGAUAUCGAGAGGAACACCUGCGGCGAAGGCGGGUUGCUGGGCUGACACUGACGCUGAUGCGCGAAAGCCAGGGGAGCGAACGGG
rnacentral:rRNA from 1 species